AUGACAUGUAUAUGGUUUCUCUCCAGUGUGAGUUUUCUCGUGUCUUUUAAGACAAGACCGUCGAACAAAGGCUUUUCCACAUAGAAGACAUUUAUAUGGUUUCUCGCCGGUGUGAGUUCUCUCAUGUUCUCGAAGAGCUCCACUCUCUGUGUGGCACAAGCCUGGUCCACAGUCUCCUACCGCAGACACUCCUUUCUGAUGAGCAGAAGUCCUCACUGCCUCAAGGAUGGUGCACUGUGAUGAGGCUGGCAAGACAGGAACGUGUCAGAGAACCAGGGAAACGAGAACCUGAUUACCUUAAAUUCCCGCUGUAAAAAUUAUGCUCCCUUUUGAGAGUUACUAUAGGUUCACUUUUAUAUUUGAUACAAACACAUUAAGAAGAAAAAAGGGACAAACUGUUCUUUUGGGAACCAAAUGCCUGUGCCUGAAAUGAAAAUACAUUGCCUGAUUUUUCUUCACAAGUAAUUUAUUCUUUUAUAUAUGAAGACAGAUCCUAAGACGUAUAUACUUUUUCGUAUUAUUCAAAAAUAGUUGAAACACAUCCUAUGUAUGGGAAAAUGAACAUUGAAGGUAUAAUUUAUUCAUGGAACCUAUCUUAUUUUGUGCGUGUAGAGCAUGGCAGUCAGUAGGAUGUCAACUAAAUCUGACUUGGAGAAGAGGAAGGGUCUGCUCUAGGAUUUCAUUUACUUGCCUGGAGAUGAAGAGGAGAGGGCUGCUGAAGGUGGUGGCCUGGGCCCAGAAGAAUAUAGAACCUCUUCUCCUCCAGGUCUUAACUACAGGCAGGCACACUUUGUUGUAUUGUGCUUUACAGAUACUGCUUUUUACAAAGGUGCGUGGCAACGCCAUGUUGAUCGGUGCCAUUUUUCCAAGGGCAAUUGCUCACAUUAUCUCUGUGUCACAUUUUGGGAAUUCUCACAAUAUUUAAAACAUUUUCAUUAUCA